rnacentral:rRNA from 1 species
GAUGAACGCUGGCGGCGUGCCUAAUACAUGCAAGUCGAGCGAACGGACGAGAAGCUUGCUUCUCUGAUGUUAGCGGCGGACGGGUGAGUAACACGUGGAUAACCUACCUAUAAGACUGGGAUAACUUCGGGAAACCGGAGCUAAUACCGGAUAAUAUUUUGAACCGCAUGGUUCAAAAGUGAAAGACGGUCUUGCUGUCACUUAUAGAUGGAUCCGCGCUGCAUUAGCUAGUUGGUAAGGUAACGGCUUACCAAGGCAACGAUGCAUAGCCGACCUGAGAGGGUGAUCGGCCACACUGGAACUGAGACACGGUCCAGACUCCUACGGGAGGCAGCAGUAGGGAAUCUUCCGCAAUGGGCGAAAGCCUGACGGAGCAACGCCGCGUGAGUGAUGAAGGUCUUCGGAUCGUAAAACUCUGUUAUUAGGGAUGAACAUAUGUGUAAGUAACUGUGCACAUCUUGACGGUACCUAAUCAGAAAGCCACGGCUAACUACGUG